ACAUACACACACACACACAUGAACACCAACUACAUAAAUGAUAAUUUUUUCCUACAACUGUGUGUCCCUACUCUAAUUACAUAUAACUCUAAAAUAAUAAUAUAGAUACCUAAAUCAGUUUUAAAAGAGGAUUUCCUGCUUCCCUUUUGUCAGUUUCACUAUAAUUUAACAUUUUUUCUUCCUUCUUCUAUCCAGCAAAUAAUUUACUUGUUUUUACAUUAACAAAUCUGUAUUCCAAUAGUUUAUCUCUCCUCUUCCUCUCCCUCAGAUAUAUAUUCAUAAAAAGGUUUCUGUUAUUUCAAGAAUGUGUCCAGUGAAUGUUGUUAACUUGCCCAUUUCUCUUAGUUCCCUCAUCUUCACUGUCUAAUCUUCAUUAGUUGAUUUUUCUGUCUUGUUGAGCAAGUAGAGUUCUUGCUACUGUUAACAUGUAGUGCAGUAUUUUCUCUUUUAUUUGAUUUAUUUGAUCAUCCGACAGUCCUAGUAAUAUGAGUAGUGGCUUGAAAUUGAUUCGUGUUUUAAGAAUUUAUUGAAUUUGUCUCCAGAACUAAUUUAUUUUGUUUACUUUUUACAGGUCCACCACAUAAUGACUCUUCAUGAUUUUCACAUUUCCAACAUUUACUAUUUAAACAUCAUUCUAUAGAGAUUCUCUUCAAGAUUAUUCAAUAAUGUUAAUGAAGAUCCCUUCUGCUACAUUUUCCCAUUUCUCUAAUUCUAUACUGUGGUCAAAAUUCUGUGCCCAUUUAACCAAAGAAGGAGAUGAGGGAUGAGUUGUUGGUUGUUGUUAUUUAAUUGUUCAGUCGCUUCCGACUCUUUGUGACCUCAUAGACCAGCCCAUACCAGAGCUCCCUGUCGUCUGUGGCCAUCCCUAGCUCCAUCUUGCCCUUGGUCGGCUCCUCUUCCUUUUUUCUUCUGUUUUCCCCAGCAUCAUUAUUUUCUCCAGGCUUUCCUGUCUUCUCAUUAUGUGACCAAAGUACUUCAUCUUUGCCUCUAAUAUCCUGUUUGGAUCUUCUUGUGGUCCAAGGUCUUGACUGUGAAGGUGGGUAGCAUUCCAGCCUCAGUGUCAGAGGAUUUUCCAGCAUCAAGGAAUGAGAGGCCGCUCCCAUCCUCUGCAGAAGCUGGAGCAGUGGCUGCGCAGAAAGGAUGUCAGAGGUGCCAGAACUUGGAGGCAAGGAAAGCAAAGAGAAUGAAGUCACUGUAACGGGAACUGUUGUCUGCCUGUCCGUCUGUCUGUCAGCAUGAGAUUCAGAGUCAAUAAAUACCAGUCAAAAUGUGUGAGUCCUGCUGACCCACCAUCCCGCUCUCUGUCUCGGGGGAAAGUAAACAAGGGUUUGGGAGUAUUAAAGCUGUUGUGCCUUCUUCAGA